AAUUUAAUGGAGGCCGAAAUGCAGGGACUCAGAUCGUGAUAGAAUAAUAAACGAGAACAUAUAAAAUGGAAG
rnacentral:tRNA from 1 species